UACAUUCCCAGCUUCACCUUUGUGCUCUUACAAGCUUGUGCCGUGCCUACAGCCCCCUUCCUUUACUGCCUGGAGAACAAAGGUCCUCUGAAUGAGUGAGGAAAGAGGGGCAACGAGGGAAUCCGGGAAGGUAGAAUUCUAAUAAGUAGCCGAGCUAUCUCUCUCAUGAAAUAGCCUCCAUAUUUUUCCUGUUCGUGUAUUAAAAGCACAAAAGAAUCCACCUGACGAGGAAAUGCUGGGAGUGCUAAUGAAGAAGAGCUACUGAACAGUACUUUUCAAAAGUGAGUAUCUGACUAGCCUUGAGAGAGUAGUUCUGCAUGAUGAGAUCCAAGCACUUGUUCCACAGAUCUGAGCUAGCAGAUGACUAACACAGAAAGUAGAAGCUUCCUUCGUGCGGAGGAAUGAGCUUUCUGGCCAUCUGAAGUAAGCCUAGUUAUUCUCAGGCAUGUCUGAAUACAAGAAAAGAUCCAUUUGGACAAACUCUUCAUUUAUUUUCCUCUUUGGAUCUUCCUCCAAGGGCAGCAAAUAACCCAAAUGACUUCACAAAAGAGGUGGCUGGGUCCAGAUAACGGUGAAACUGAACACAAGCCCAGCUCAUGGAGCAGGUCUGUGAGGGACCUUGGGAAAGAAAUCAGCAGAGGGGACCAUCUCAGAGGAAAGUUUGCCCACCUUUUGGCAAUUUUGGGGGUGAGAUGAAAGCUUGACUUCAUCCUUAUGAAAGCCACCAAAGUGGUCAGAGAAAGUCGAUACAAAAGGUUGGAGAAACCUCACCUGCCUGGCAGAGGAGAGCACAAUCAGGAAGGUAUCGGCAGGACAGAAAGCAUAAAGAACCCUCAGACAGAAGUUGUGAGUUUAGUGAGACUCCAAUAUCAGUCCAACAAAGCUAGUGAAGCCCAUGCUGGAGGGUUAAAGUGGGCAGGAGUGUCCUCCCAAAUUGAAAAGCUUAUUUGCUGAUGAGCAAAAUUAACAAGCAGAAACAACAGCUAGGUGAACUUGUAAGGAAGAUCAGGGUUAGCCGGACUCCUGAAUGGAUCAUUCCAAGAGCUUGCUGUAAAUGUCUUGUAGGAUUUCAUCAGUGCCUGACAUGUCAUCUGGAAAACCCAGAGUUGGGAUUCCCGUAAUGCCAGUUGUUGAAAGUAGGGAAGUGCUGUUCGCCGUGAGGCUUAUCUGUCACUGCAAGAGGAAAGAUUGGGCAUGACGGACAGGAACAGAACAGUCUCACGCCUGAGCAUUAGAUUAAUAGAGUUUGAGCCUCAGUGAAAUAUUUGUGCUUCAUCUUGCUGCAUGAAGGACUGAGGGAGAGGAGGAAAGCAUAAGUACUGGAAGCCUGAGCCUAGGGAACCAGAAAAGUGCUUGGAAGUGCUGCCCGACCUCUGCCUGCUUGAUUACAGAAGGUAAUCUGAUGGAAUCAAGCAGCCUCCGUACCCGCUCUCACACUGGGACUUCCCCUUCUGGUUAAUGGUCAUUGAUGGGUGAUCCCCAGAACACCUCUCCUUUGCAGUGCCUGUUAAUCUCCCAGACAGCCUGUUUCAAAUUGAGCAUAAUAGCAGGAGUCAGAACAAUAGAUUCAGGGCAUUUUCCCAGGCCAGCUAUGGGUGACAUACGGUAUUUGUAACUGGGAAAGUGACUCAGCAGAAAAAGGACAAUAUUCAUCUGCAAGGAUUUUUCUCAGCUGAAGAAAAUCUUUUCCUGUACAAAUCAAGGCACGUUAGCACUAGCAAAGCAAACAUAAGAUUCCCUAGCCGUGGGUUCUCGGAUUCCCCUGACCCUGGAAAACCCUGUUUUAGUCCCUCAGCACCUGUUAAAGGGAAGAGGGGAAGUCAGUUUAAUUCCCCUUGUCACAGUCCUUGAGAAGCUAUACUGCCGUCAGGAAGGGAAUUGGGGGGAGGGAUAGCUCAGUGGUUUGAGCAUUGGCCUGCUAAACCCAGGGUUGUGGUUCAAUCCUUGCAGAGGCCAUUUAGGGAUUUGGGGC